rnacentral:lncRNA from 1 species
AGGAGGUGAAGGUGAACCAUCCUUUUCCUUGUUGUGAUUAACAACAACAACAAAAAAUCAAUUUGCCUUUUAAGGGCUCUUUACAGACUGUUUAUAUGAUAUAAAAUAUAAUAAGUGCAGCUUAAGCUAUUAAGAUAAAGCCUUUAAAAUGACACGAGGACUACAUCAAGACAAAGUGAUCAAGUGAAUUGCAGAACUGGGGAACAGUGAAGGGCUGCGAACUUCCCAUCCAGAAUACUGUUUAGAAGAUGUCCACAUUGAAUAUUUCUUGGGGCUGCGGAGUCCAAGAUCAAAGUGCCGGCAGAUUCAGUGUCUGGUGAGACAUCUGUGGAAGUGGGGAGAGAGCUCUCUAGGAUUUCUUUUAUGAAGACAGUAACUGCAUUCAUGAGGGCUCCACCCUCAUGAACUAAUCACCUCCUGAAGACCCCAUCUCCUAAUACCAUCACAUUGGGGGUUAGAAUUUUAAUAAAUAAAUUUU